rnacentral:lncRNA from 1 species
UUCUUGUUACCCUCACUGCAGUCAAUUUAUAAAUUAUUAAGCUCGCCAUGUAACGCUGUUGCUGCUGCUGCGUGAGAGUGCCGGCGCCCAGAGCAGCCGCAGCCGCCCGGUCUGCGGCUGUGCGGCCGGCCUCGUGCACGUACACACGCACGUGCACGCAGUGCGACGAGUCGCCCUGGGUGUCGAAGGGAGGGCGAGCCCCGGGCACGCAACCCGAGGGCUCGUGUGUGCGGGUUUGGACGGUGGCGUGUGAAGUGCGGGCGCCGGCCGGAGUGACGAAGGAUCCUCAAUAGCGCCACGCCGGUGCACCGUGGGCUGGUCGGCUGUGUUUGUGUGCGUGUUUCGGGAGUCGCGAUGGAUGGAUAGAUGCUUCGCGCCUGCGUGAUUGCGCCAGCAGACCGACUGCACUGCAUCCUCGACUACCGAGCCUGAUAAGUCACCUUCCGCCGCAAGACGUGCCGAGUUGCGAGAAGUAAAACAAACAGGCAAAAAAAUAAUAAUAAUAAAGACGGAGAAUACAAAACAAUCAGAAGACGAAGAAGCGAAGUCA